UACGUAGGGAGCGAGCGUUAUCCGGAUUUAUUGGGCGUAAAGCGUGCGUAGGCGGUUUGUUAAGUCUAAAAUUAAAGCCUGAGGCUCAACCUCAGUUCGUUUUAGAAACUGGCAGACUUGAGUGUGGUAGAGGCAAGUGGAAUUUCUAGUGUAGCGGUUAAAUGCGUAGAUAUUAGAAGGAACACCAGUGGCGAAGGCGGCUUGCUGGGCCACCACUGACGCUGAGGCACGAAAGCGUGGGGAGCAAAUAGG
rnacentral:rRNA from 1 species